UACGAAGGGGGCUAGCGUUGUCCGGAAUCACUGGGCGUAAAGCGCACGCAGGCGGAUUGAUAAGUCAGGGGUGAAAUCCCGGGCUCAACCUCGGAAUUGCCUUUGAUACUGUCUGUCUUGAGUUCGGGAGAGGUUGGCGGAAUUCCUAGUGUAGAGGUGAAAUUCGUAGAUAUUAGGAAGAACACCAGUGGCGAAGGCGGCUCACUGGCCCGGUACUGACGCUGAGGCGCGAAAGCGUGGGGAGCAAACAGGG
rnacentral:rRNA from 1 species